GAUGAACGCUGGCGGCGUGCCUAAUACAUGCAAGUCGAGCGAACAGAUGAGGAGCUUGCUCCUCUGACGUUAGCGGCGGACGGGUGAGUAACACGUGGAUAACCUACCUAUAAGACUGGGAUAACUUCGGGAAACCGGAGCUAAUACCGGAUAAUAUAUUGAACCGCAUGGUUCAAUAGUGAAAGACGGUUUUGCUGUCACUUAUAGCUGGAUCCGCGCCGCAUUAGCUAGUUGGUAAGGUAACGGCUUACCAAGGCAACGAUGCGUAGCCGACCUGAGAGGAUGAUCGGCCACACUGGAACUGAGACACGGUCCAGACUCCUACGGGAGGCAGCAGUAGGGAAUCUUCCGCAAUGGGCGAAAGCCUGACGGAGCAACGCCGCGUGAGUGAUGAAGGUCUUCGGAUCGUAAAACUCUGUUAUUAGGGAAGAACAAAUGUGUAAGUAACUAUGCACGUCUUGACGGUACCUAAUCAGAAAGCCACGGCUAACUACGUG
rnacentral:rRNA from 1 species